UAGUCCUAGCCGUAAACGAUGGGUACUAGUUGCCGGGGGAGUCAAUCCUCUCGGUGACGAAGCUAACGCAUUAAGUACCCCGCCUGGGGAGUACGCUCGCAAGGGUGAAACUCAAAGGAAUUGACGGGGGCCCGCACAAGCGGUGGAGCAUGUGCUUUAAUUCGAUGCAACGCGAAGAACCUUACCUGGGUUUGACAUGGGAGUGAAAGGUCCUGGAGACAGGAUCCCUUCCUUCGGGAACACUCUGCACAGGUGCUGCAUGGUUGUCGUCAGCUCGUGUCGUGAGAUGUUGGGUUAAGUCCCGCAACGAGCGCAACCCCUAUCCUUAGUUGCCGGCGCGUAAUGGCGGGAACUCUAGGGAGACUGCCUGGUAUAACCAGGAGGAAGGUGGGGAUGACGUCAAAUCCUCAUGGCCCUUACGCCCAGGGCUAGACACGUGCUACAAUGGCAGGCACAACGGGAUGCGAGACUGCGAAGUUUAGCUAAUCCCUUAAAACCUGUACUCAGUUCGGAUUGG
rnacentral:rRNA from 1 species